rnacentral:rRNA from 1 species
AUUGAACGCUGGCGGCAGGCCUAACACAUGCAAGUCGAGCGGAUGAAGGGAGCUUGCUCCUGGAUUCAGCGGCGGACGGGUGAGUAAUGCCUAGGAAUCUGCCUGGUAGUGGGGGAUAACGUCCGGAAACGGGCGCUAAUACCGCAUACGUCCUGAGGGAGAAAGUGGGGGAUCUUCGGACCUCACGCUAUCAGAUGAGCCUAGGUCGGAUUAGCUAGUUGGUGGGGUAAAGGCCUACCAAGGCGACGAUCCGUAACUGGUCUGAGAGGAUGAUCAGUCACACUGGAACUGGGAAACGGGUCAGGCUUCUAAGGGAGGCAGCAGGUGGGAAUUUUGGACAAUGGGCGGAAGGCUGAUCCAGCCAAGGCGCGUGUGUGAAGAAGGUCUUCGGAUUGUAAAGGACUUUAAGGUGGGAGGAAGGGCAGUAAGUUAAUACCUUGCUGUUUUGACGUUACCAACAGAAUAAGCACCGGCUAACUUCGU